rnacentral:rRNA from 1 species
CCUACGGGGGGCAGCAGUGAGGAAUAUUGGUCAAUGGACGAGAGUCUGAACCAGCCAAGUAGCGUGAAGGAUGACUGCCCUAUGGGUUGUAAACUUCUUUUAUAAAGGAAUAAAACGAGGCACGUGUGCCUUUUUGCAUGUACUUUAUGAAUAAGGAUCGGCUAACUCCGUGCCAGCAGCCGCGGUAAUACGGAGGCUCCGAGCUUUAUCCUGAUUUAUUGGGUUUAAGGGGAGCGUAGAUGGUUUGUUAAGUCAGUUGUGAAAGUUUGGGGACCAACCGUAAAAUUGCAAUUGAUACGGGCAGUAUUGAGUACAGUUUAGGUGGACGAAAUUAGGGGUGGAGCGGUGAAA